UACGUAGGGGGCAAGCGUUGUCCGGAUUUAUUGGGCGUAAAGAGCGUGUAGGCGGUUCGGUAGGUCCGUUGUGAAAACUCGAGGCUCAACCUCGAGACGCCGAUGGAAACCCUCGAACUAGAGUCCGGAAGAGGAGAAUGGAAUUCCUGGUGUAGCGGUGAAAUGCGCAGAUAUCAGGAAGAACACCCGUGGCUAAGGCGGUUCUCUGGGACGGUACUGACGCUGAGGCGCGAAAGCGUGGGGAGCGAACAGG
rnacentral:rRNA from 1 species